rnacentral:rRNA from 1 species
GACGAACGCUGGCGGCGUGCUUAACACAUGCAAGUCGAACGGAAAGGCCCUGCUUUGUGGGGUGCUCGAGUGGCGAACGGGUGAGUAACACGUGAGUAACCUGCCCUUGACUUUGGGAUAACUUCAGGAAGCUGGGGCUAAUACCGGAUAGGAGCUCCUGCUGCAUGGUGGGGGUUGGAAAGUUUCGGCGGUUGGGGAUGGACUCGCGGCUUAUCAGCUUGUUGGUGGGGUAGUGGCUUACCAAGGCUUUGACGGGUAGCCGGCCUGAGAGGGUGACCGGCCACAUUGGGACUGAGAUACGGCCCAGACUCCUACGGGAGGCAGCAGUGGGGAAUAUUGCACAAUGGGCGGAAGCCUGAUGCAGCAACGCCGCGUGCGGGAUGACGGCCUUCGGGUUGUAAACCGCUUUCGCCUGUGACGAAGCGUGAGUGACGGUAAUGGGUAAAGAAGCACCGGCUAACUACGUG